CAGUGGUAUUCUUGAGCUGAUGACUUUUAACUUGAUGGGCUAAAAGCUUUGAGCCUCCCAGCUGGUCCAUGAGCCCCACACCAGUGUCUGAGGGAAGAGGUGGAGGAACUGGUUUAAGUUUAAGUCCUUGAGUCCAAUGUCUGAAGGUUGCAGUGGCUGAAAGCAGCUCGAGGAGAGAGAAUUCAGCCUGCCUCUACCUUUUUUUAUCCAUUCUCUGCCCUCAAGAGGACCAGGUGAUGCCUGCACACAUCCAUCAGGCACAUUUGCUUUAGUGGGUCGGCCACCAGUGCUAGUGCUGAUCUCCCUUGGAAACAGCUGCACACACAUAUCUAGCAAUAUGGUUCUCUGGGCUCCCAUGCAGCUGACAUGUACAUCUCACCCUUUCCUACAGGAAGCAGGAGAAAGCAGCAGUACUGGCUGAUGUAGCCUCCUCCUCCACCCUGGUGGCACCACGACUCCCUGGGCAUUGCUGCAAGCCAUCACUCUUCCUCCGUGGCCUUCCCUGUGGAAUGCUGCCAGUUACAGCCAGAUACCCUCCCCUGUGCAUCCAGCUGGAGCUCAGCCUGCCUUGGAGGUAAAAGACUGUGGCACCAGUGAUGAUAAUAGGACAACCUUCAGAGUACAGAGCUAAUCCUACCAUUUUCUUGACUUUUGUUGUUCAUUUUUCUCUAUGUGGAAUCUAAGCCAUGGGAAGUGCUCCAGGAAAUGGAAUCCAGAAGCAAACAGAAUCAGAGAGAAGCAAACAGAAUCUAACCAGCAAGCAUUAACACAUGCUCCACGGCCA
rnacentral:lncRNA from 1 species